UAGUAGUUGUCAGACAUUUUGAAUGGGGAGGGUUUAAAACCUCUAACUUCAGUGUUAUAAGAUCAACAUUUGAAUCAUCUAGUUGUUUGAUGCAAAUAUUUUAAACCUUAAUUUAUCAGAGGGCAUUUCAAAAACUAUAUUUAUACAUAAACAUAUACAUUUACAUACACUGUCAUAAUAUAUUGUAUUUUUUAAAUAUUUUAAAAUUACGUGACAUUGUGAAUUUAGACAUCGUGGAUGAUGGUGAUUUUGUCGUAUUUUCGAAAUGAGACGAGCGUAGGUAUACCACACUACUGACAAUUUGCCAAUAACAGCGAGUAUAUACAGUUGACUCUGGUCAUCGAUUCUCACGGGUAAAUUUU